GUGCCAGAUCUGGGCGGUAAUAGCAGGAGGCUCCACAGGGCAGGCUGGCUCUCCCUCAACCAAGGGGCCUCAGCCCACCAGGGCCUAGAGAGUCAAAGAAGUGUAUCUGAGGCAACAAAAAACUCUGAACUAAUCAGAUCUGCAUUUGAGUCUCAUCUCUGCCGUUUACUAGUUGAGUCACCUUGGGCAAAUCAUCUCUCUGAGCCUCCCUUACUUACCUCAUCCAUGAAAGAGGAGGUGUCAGCGGAGCUCCAGCAGAUGAAAGCGGUUUCUACUAUCUCAGAGGCAAAAAGGACUGAAAUAGCGGACUUCCAAGGAGAGCGUGAAGGAGAGUCGAAAGCAUGCCUGACUUGAUACUAGGAAGCCUUGACUGCUUUGUGGAAAUGACCUCUGUCAUUUGAGCCAUCACUGAGGACUGGGUGUGUGAGUGACUCAGAUCCUCCCAUCAAACUCUGAAGGGGGUAACCCCAGAAAGGGUCUGUGGUGGUCUUUGAAGAGAAAAACUCCUUUUCUUGG